UGUUUGCAUUGAUAGCAGCUGUUCUCCCCUCCAGUGAAAUGAAAAAGGAGAUGGAAGAGAUCACGAGGACUCUUUUGUUACUGACUUUGUUUCAGCAGAAAUACUCCAACCAACUCUACUUCUGCUUCCUUCCAGAUGGGAAGGAAAGCUCCAACUUCACUGCUGGCACAAGGUUUGAUUCCUGACUAUGUCUAGCAGGCCAGGUGAAGGUUUGCUGCACAGAUGGAGGCUCCAAAACUUGCAUCUCUUCCUUCCCCAACUGCAGCUCCGAAAUUCGUGGGUGGAGGAAGAUCCUGUUCAGCUCUCAGCCAAGGACCAGGCACCUCAAUUUGCCUUUUUUUUUAAGCCUCCAACAGCUGUGCUCCAGAGAAUGGAGAAGAGGAAGUUCUGAUGGGGUUCCCACCCAGAAAAAAAACAUUGAAAAUCAGCUCAGACAAAAGAAAGACAUGGAGUAUGUAAAGGCAAGGUGAGAAAAUAAAUGAGGAAGGCUCCCCUGCAAGCCUCAGGUGUCUGGAGACAGUGGAGAUGCACAGUUAUGUUGGCCAGGAGAGGAGACAGAGAACGUGGCACUCAGAUCCUGAAGUCACUGACCUCCCGAGGGAACAAUCAACCACUGCCAUGAACUUCCCAAGUGCUGAGCCCUGGGAUUCCCUGGAUUCCAGGCUUUGUUCCUCCCCUGAACGUUCCACAGCCGGCAGCUCAGCAAUCUGCCACGUUUAAACCUGGAGCCGCAAGAGUUGCGGUUGUGCAACGCCACAUCUGCGAUUGUUCGCAGGGCUGUAUUGUUCGAGCCCCGCUUUGCACUGACCUCCCUCCGCUCACGUUCCGCGUUCUUAAAAAAACCCCAGCGAGCCUUCCAACUGCAGUUGCUUUGGUGCUGUGAUUUUCAGAAGAAUUUUGUAAGUAUUUCAUUCUCAGCGGUCUGUAUGACCGCAUCUUUCUAUGCACGACAACCGAGCCGGUUUUGCCCUGAAAUUGCAUUGCCCAACAAGGCGACCGUUGCUUAUCGCGCGUUUUAUCUGGUUUAUAGCCGAGAAGCGCGGGGAGAUUGUGCAAAGAGGGGAGAAAGAGCCCCAAGGACCUUAAUCUAAGGGUGAGACAAAGAGCCGCUGGACUAUGGACUUGAGGGAGUUGCACUCUGAGAACGCGGUCCCGCAGGACAGGGGGCGCGGGGAAGCAGCAGCACUAACCCAGCUCCCCCAAGUUCGCUCCCAUCCUUUCCCCUCGCCCCGGCAGCGA